rnacentral:snRNA from 1 species
GUCUUGGUUCUGCCAAUGACAUAAAUGAAAAUUGGAACGAUACAGAGAAGAUUAGCAUGGCCCCUGCAAAAGGAUGACACGCAUAACUUGAGAUUAGCGGUACAUUGUA